AAUAUUGCACAAUGGGCGCAAGCCUGAUGCAGCAACGCCGCGUGAGGGAUGACGGCCUUCGGGUUGUAAAGCACUUUUUGCAGGGAAGAAAAGGCGCCGGAUAAUACCUGGCGCCGCUGACGGUACCUGCAGACUAAGCACCGGCUACCUACGUGCCAGCAUCCGCGGUAAUACGUAGGGUGCAAGCGUUAAUCGGAAUUACUGGGCGUAAAGCGUGAGCAGGCGGUUCGGAAAGAAAGAUGUGAAAUCCCAGGGAUUAACCUUGGAACUGCAUUUUUAACUGCCGGGCUAGAGUAUGUCAGAGGGGGGUAGAAUUCCACGUGUAGCAGUGAAAUGCGUAGAGAUGUGGAGGAAUACCGAUGGCGAAGGCAGCCCCCUGGGAUAAUACUGACGCUCAUGCACGAAAGCGUGGGGAGCAAACAG
rnacentral:rRNA from 1 species